rnacentral:rRNA from 1 species
AUUGAACGCUGGCGGCAGGCCUAACACAUGCAAGUCGAGCGGAAGAAGGGAGCUUGCUCCGGGAUUCAGCGGCGGACGGGGGAGUAAUGCCUAGGAAUCUGCCGGGUAGGGGGGGAGAACGUCCGGAAACGGGCGCGAAUACCGCAGACGUCCUGAGGGAGAAAGAGGGGGAGGUUCGGACCGCACGCGAGCAGAGGAGCGUAGGUCGGAUUAGCUAGUUGGUGGGGUAAAGGCCUACCAAGGCGACGAUCCGUAACUGGUCGGAGAGGCUGAUCAGUCACACUGGAGCUGAGACACGGUCCAGACUCCUACGGGAGGCCGCAGUCGGCAAUGUUAGACAGUGGGCGAAAGCCUGAUCCAGCCAUCCCGAGUGUGUGACGACGGUCUUCCGAUUGUAAAGCCCUUUAACUUGGGAGGAACCGCAGUAAGUUAAUACCUUGCUGUUUUGACGUUACCAACAGAAUAAGCACCGGCUAACUUCGUG